AGCUCCAAUAGCGUAUAUUAAAGUUGUUGCAGUUAAAAAGCUCGUAGUUGGAUUUCGGGGCCCCGGGCGCUCGUUGCGUUGCCUGUCGGACUUGUCUGGCGGGUGCGUGGCGGUCGUCGGUCUCUGAGUCGGAUUGGUCCGCCGAGAGGCGUGUACUGACCGACGGCCCCUGUUGUCUCUCGGGUUGCCCGCCUGCACUUAGUUGUUGCGGACGGGGAGUUCGGGACGUUUCCAAGCAGGCCGGUUGCUUUGAAUACAUUAGCAUGGAAUAAUGGAAUAGGGCUGCGUGACUUCUGUUGCUUUCGGGUGGCAGGGUCCUCGUGUCCUAUUUUGUUGGUUUUCGGGACCGCAGUCAUGGUCAAGAGGGACAGUUGGGGGCAUUCGUAUUCAGUUGUCAGAGGUGAAAUUCUUGGAUUUACGGAAGACGAACAACUGCGAAAGCAUUUGCCAAGGAUGUUUUCA
rnacentral:rRNA from 1 species